AUGGACCUGCGUUGUAUUAGCUAGUUGGUGAGGUAAAGGCUCACCAAGGCGACGAUACAUAGCCGACCUGAGAGGGUGAUCGGCCACACUGGGACUGAGACACGGCCCAGACUCCUACGGGAGGCAGCAGUAGGGAAUCUUCGGCAAUGGACGGAAGUCUGACCGAGCAACGCCGCGUGAGUGAAGAAGGUUUUCGGAUCGUAAAGCUCUGUUGUUAGAGAAGAACGUUGGUAGGAGUGGAAAAUCUACCAAGUGACGGUAACUAACCAGAAAGGGACGGCUAACUACGUGCCAGCAGCCGCGGUAAUACGUAGGUCCCGAGCGUUGUCCGGAUUUAUUGGGCGUAAGGCGAGCGCAGGCGGUUCUUUAAGUCUGAAGUUAAAGGCAGUGGCUUAACCAUUGUACGCUUUGGAAACUGGAGGACUUGAGUGCAGAAGGGGAGAGUGGAAUUCCAUGUGUAGCGGUGAAAUGCGUAGAUAUAUGGAGGAACACCGGUGGCGAAAGCGGCUCUCUGGUCUGUAACUGGCGCUGAGGCUCGAAAGCGUGGGGAGCAAACAGG
rnacentral:rRNA from 1 species